GAUGAACGCUGGCGGCGUGCCUAAUACAUGCAAGUCGAGCGAACAGACGAGGAGCUUGCUCCUCUGACGUUAGCGGCGGACGGGUGAGUAACACGUGGAUAACCUACCUAUAAGACUGGGAUAACUUCGGGAAACCGGAGCUAAUACCGGAUAAUAUAUUGAACCGCAUGGUUCAAUAGUGAAAGACGGUUUUGCUGUCACUUAUAGAUGGAUCCGCGCCGCAUUAGCUAGUUGGUAAGGUAACGGCUUACCAAGGCAACGAUGCGUAGCCGACCUGAGAGGGUGAGAGGACACACUGGAACUGAGACACGGUACAGACUCCUACGGGAGGCAGCAGUAGGGAAUAUGGGGCAAUGGGCGAAAGCCUGAUGGAGCAAUGCCGAGUGAGUGAAGAAGGUCUUCGGAUUGUAAAACUCUGUAAGUAGGGAAGAACAGAAGUAAAAGAAAAUAUGCAGGUCUGGACGGUACCAAAAGAAAAAGCAAAGGCUAAAUACGGG
rnacentral:rRNA from 1 species